UACGGAGGGAGCUAGCGUUGUUCGGAUAUACUGGGCGUAAAGCGUGCGUAGACGGUUAUUUAAGUCGGGUGUGAAAGCCCCGGGCUCAACCUGGGAAUUGCAUUCGAGACUGAAUAGCUAGGGUACGGUAGAGGGAUGCGGAAUUCCAGGUGUAGCGGUGAAAUGCGUAGAUAUCGGAAGGAACAUCAGUGGCGAAAGCGGCUUCCUGGACCAGUACCGACGUUCAGGCACGAAAGCGUGGGGAGCAAACAGG
rnacentral:rRNA from 1 species